UUCGCAACGACCCAAUGAUUAUGGCAUCCCAGUGGCGGUAGAGGUCACAUACGUGCAAGACAACUUCCUCACUACAGACGUGCUCAACGAGAUGAUGCUGUUGGUGGAGUUUUACCGGUCUGCUCCUGACCUUGUGCCGUUCAGUCAGAUGUGGAGUCCUAAUACCUCAAUACUCAACAAAGUCAAGGCCUCUUUGAGUGGCCACGUACCCAAAGACCAGGCGUACACACAGAUCC